rnacentral:lncRNA from 1 species
CUGGUAUCUAUGAUGAGUUUAUUUAUUAGAAUAUGAUGGGGUUAAACAUGUUUCUAUGCGAUAAAUCCUUCUUUAACACGAGACCGUUGUGAAACAGUACACUAUCAGAACAAGCUGUAAAAACAGCUGAAACGGGUCUUACUUGUUUAAUUAUCAAGGCUAAUGUCACCAACAACGUCAAAACAUUGUGAGUUGUUGAUAAAUUGACCAAAUAUCAGAGCACUAGUAUAUUCUGUAUUUGGUACAGAGUACUGCAGACAUUUUCAAUAACAAUUCCACUAACUUCACGUUUUUAUUUCAUCUAAUUUGGGGAAGAAACCGAUGGAAGUCUUGAUACAUUUUUUUAUGUACC